GUCACUUCCGGCUAGGACGUUCGAUUAGAACUCUUCUCUAUUCCAGCGUCGUAUCUCUAGCUUCAAUAAAUUUUUCAAACGACUAUACAUGUGUGAUUACUCACUUCAAUGAUACUAAACGAUGCCUAGUUAAUCAAUCAAAUUCCUGACUGUAAACACACUACAAAUUGACAGCGUCAAAGACCCUCGUCUCAUUCCUUGUAGCAAAGUCCACAUUGGCAGAUCGAUAUGAAGAUAGUGACUCCAAUUGUCGUCAUCGCUGCUGUGAUGGUCAUCACCCAGGCUACUCAUCUUCACUUCGAGGUCGAAACUACGAAUAGCACCUUUGUAAAGGCAAACGCUGGAUUUUCUUCGCAGUGUAAGUGAGACAGCCAGCUGUUUUGCAUGCAUUUCAAAUGUGCUCG